GCCCAUCCCAGAGGCUUCCUCUGGCUGUUUCCUGGCAUUGUCAGCCUCAUACUGCUCCAGCAGCAGGACACUAGGCGCCCACGGUCCCAGGGCCACCUCCUUAUAGUCCUCCCCGAUUGCUGCGAUUGGUUGGGGCCCAGGCCUUGCUGCUGGGGAUGGAUAAGAUGAUCGCCACGGGCCUUUUGGGGAGCUAAUAGUUUGUGAAGGGAGGAGACCUCUCCGGUCAGCUUCACUAGGAUGCACGUUUCCCCUCAUGCCAGGUGUAGGAAGCCAUGGGCAUUUACAUUAAUUGGCAUAGCCACCUGCUAUAGUGAAAAGAGCACGGAACCGGAAGUCAGAUCUUGGAGUCUACUCCCAACAAUACUACUAGGUUGAGUGACCCUGAGUAAAGUUCUGUCUUCUCCAGGCAACGGUUCCCCUGUCUGCUGAUCUGGGUGGGAAAUGGAUGGAGCUGAAGUGACAUGGUGGCAGGAAGAGAUACUCUUGGAGCUGAGAAGGGUCCCUGAGACUUCCUUCCCCCUGCCCAGUGAGCCCCACCAUGGGCAGGCGCAACCUGAAUGUGUGCUUCCUGGAGACAUCCAUGGAUCCAUGAGCCAGCCUUUCUGUCCUCCUGGAACCUGUCCCCCGUCCAUGGCCAGGUGCUAGGGAGCCUGGCAAGGCCCCAGGGAGCAGGAAGCAAGGUCCCGGGUUGUCCUGGGAAUGAGUGGACUCAGGCACCAGCACGCACCGCCCCCCAUCAUCACUGCAGCCUGGUCCGACAGUGA
rnacentral:lncRNA from 1 species